AAUGAGAGCUGAAGACUGCAGGGCGGUGUUUGUGUGGAUGCGGACACAGAGCUGUCUCUCUUUUCUUAAUUUAACGAAAGAUCGUUCUUUUUUAGCUGCUCCUUUGGUUUAUGGUGAACAGCUGCUUGAGUGUAAUCGCUGCUCAGAUAAACCUGAUCGAGAUGAAUUCGCUCAGUAAAAGUCAGCGGACCUGUAGUUAGUUAACUUAGGUUAGCUAACUGAACUAACGUUAACCGCAGCUGCUGCCGCCGUUAGUCUUCAGGUUAACCCGCUCAGGAAAUUAAAGUUAGACAUUGCGCCAAGUUACUUGAUAACGUCCCUUUUCUUAAAUUACAGCGUCGAUGAUGUUGAAAAGCAGGUGUAAGAAAAGCUCGAUGAGCAUCGGACUGCAGUCCAACAUUUCUACCUUUUUCUUCUCGAAGGUGGCUCCAAAAUCCCCGAAAGGAGGUACAGCCUUGUGUUCAGUUUGCAAGUAUAGAUUCUGAUGUGGUGAAGACACGUACCAAGGAAAAUGCAAGCGUCCCGCUGUCCCCC